CUGGGUAUGAGCCGGUGUUCGUUCUUGCGUUGGUGGUGAAUCCAAUGUCUCCGGGCAUCAGAUUCAUCGCCGGCGUGGGUUCGUUCUGAGAUUAUACGGCCUUUAACUUGAUCUGGAUAAUACCAGCGAAAGGAUCAUGCCCUCCCCCCUC
rnacentral:ncRNA from 18 species